rnacentral:rRNA from 1 species
GCGCGGGAAUUCGAUUAAUUCGUCGACAACAGAGUUUGAUCCAGUCUCAUAUUGAACGCUGGCGGCAGGCCUAACACAUGCAAGUCGAGCGGAUGAUGGGAGCUUGCUCCCGGAUUCAGCGGCGGACGGGUGAGUAAUGCCUAGGAAUCUGCCUGGUAGUGGGGGACAACGUUUCGAAAGGAACGCUAAUACCGCAUACGUCCUACGGGAGAAAGCAGGGGACCUUCGGGCCUUGCGCUAUCAGAUGAGCCUAGGUCGGAUUAGCUAGUUGGUGGGGUAAAGGCCUACCAAGGCGACGAUCCGUAACUGGUCUGAGAGGAUGAUCAGUCACACUGGAACUGAGACACGGUCCAGACUCCUACGGGAGGCAGCAGUGGGGAAUAUUGGACAAUGGGCGAAAGCCUGAUCCAGCCAUGCCGCGUGUGUGAAGAAGGUCUUCGGAUUGUAAAGCACUUUAAGUUGGGAGGAAGGGCAGUAAGUUAAUACCUUGCUGUUUUGACGUUACCAACAGAAUAAGCACCGGCUAACUUCGUGCCAGCAGCCGCGGUAAUACGAAGGGUGCAAGCGUUAAUCGGAAUUACUGGGCGUAAAGCGCGCGUAGGUGGUUUGGUAAGAUGGAUGUGAAAUCCCCGGGCUCCACCUGGGAACUGCAUCCAUAACUGCCUGAC